UACGUAGGGACCGAGCGUUGUCCGGAUUCAUUGGGCGUAACGAGCUCGUAGGCGGCCACUCAAGUCGAAUGUGAAACCUCGAGGCUUAACCUCGAGCCUGCAUUCGAUACUGGGCGGCUAGAGUCUGGUAGGGGGAUCUGGAAUUCCUGGUGUAGCGGUGGAAUGCGCAGAUAUCAGGAGGAACACCGGUGGCGAAGGCGGGAUCCUGGGCCAGUACUGACGCUGAGGAGCGAAAGCGUGGGGAGCAAACAGG
rnacentral:rRNA from 1 species